ensembl:lncRNA
AUAUAUCUUUAUGAUUCAUGUCUUUAUGAUCUAUAGAUUCAUAUUGCCAAAUGCUUUCCGGAUUUCUUUGAACUUUUCAUAAACAGAUUUGACAAAAUGAGGUAUUCUGUCUAGCACCACACAAGAUUUGGGAAGAUGUAACCAAACUUGAAUUUAAUUUCUUUGGGAGCAUAUGGGCAGUGUUUUACAAGACUUUUAAUUUUUAUUAUUAUUAUUAUGUCCUGGGCAGUCUUCAGUGGGAUUUCUAAGAAAUGAGUAGCUUAAGAUGGUAAGCUAUGAUAACUUCUAUUGCCUUGUGUAUGGGAACUGUUGAAUCAUGGCCUGAACCUCUGAUUGACCACCUGAGGAAAGCACUGAGUCAGCCGCAGGAGCACAGGUGAAGGCAGCUGUGUGACUGGAAGUGGUGGAGCCUGGCUGCACCACUCCUAGACCACAUUUAAGGGCUGACUGCCACUGGGGAAGGAUCUCUUUCUGGAGAUCGCUCCUCUUGGAGUCUUUUUUGGUGAGCCCCGGACACAGGUAAGCUUUCCAUUCAUCUCUGAUUAUCCCUCUCUAAUGCGAUAAUCUUUCCAGCCUAAUGUCUGUAUACUUAUUGACCUUACACCUUGUUACAUCACAUUUUGUAUUUGUUUUAAUCCAAUAUGAAAACAUGAACAUCUAUUACAUAUCUAACCGAGUUUUCAAAGACCUUCUGCAGCCUGCCACUGGGUGUGAUGUUGCUUUUAAAGUUGAUGAGAAAUUAUGGCUCAAAGUGGAAUGUUUCAAAUGUAAAAAGAUACUAGCUCAUCAUUUUUAUAUUGCACUUUUGUGUAGUUACGUUUAUUAAUGCACAGAAAGCUACAUUUAGAGUGUGGAUUUAUCCCUAUGAAAAUCAAAGUUAAUACUCCAUAAGUUCACUUUGUCUCGGGGAACGUGUAUGUUGAAUUCUUCAUAAUAUGCUUGUAUGAAACUUUAAUAGAACGUUGUCUUAGACAAUAAAUAUUUGGUAUACAGGAGUAACAUUGCCCAAAAACUUGUGAUGUAUUUAUUAAUAGCAUUUGUGCCUAGCUUUUGGCUUCCUCUCCAUAUUGUAGUCUGGUAAGAGACUAUAAAAAUGCAAAGCUGUGUAUUCUUGAACUAAUGCUGAUUUUUUUUCUUUUUUUUUCUUUUUUUUUUUUUUUUUCUAACAAGCAAUUCCUAUUUUCUUCUGUAAGACUCUUCUUUCUCUCUGCUUUUUUCUCCUAGUGCUGGAAGUCAUUUAUUGCUUCUAAUCCAAGGACACUGGCUGGUCACCUGCAGUGAUGAGGAAGAAACUGUCUAAAGAUCUUCAUAGCAGAUUUUACAUCCCAGUGAUUUGAGAAGUUGCAUUCAAAACAAGGGACAUACGCUCCUCCCAGAACAGAAUUUUUGUCUAUGGUGUUUUAAGAAAAAACAACCAGUUGCUCCAUCUGUCAGUAAACCUCUUCCAAGAAGAAGGAAAUAUCAACACAACACAAAAUGUGAUUGCCCUUUGAAAGCAAAAAGACCUACAGGCACAAAGCUCACUAUGCAUAACAGAGGACAUUGUCCAUCACAACAAAGGGCUAAAAAAGUGAAGAUAAACUAGCGCAUACGAGGAAAUUAUGGGACAGUGUCAGUUACAAAGGCUUGUCUCUUGCACACUAGCAGAUGAAUCAUCAUCCGUGGUUUUGGGGAGGAUGUUUAGACAUUACAGCAAAGGUGAGUUUAGAGUGGGUAUGGAGAAGUUAUGCACGUUUAUAUGGAGCUCAACGUAGGUUUGAACAGAGGCAUUUUUUAUCAGAUAAACAGAUGGGCAAUAUGUGGACUAAUUAAAGCUUGAAACUCAUCCCUGGAUAAUAAAUGAAAAGUGAUUCAUAGAGUGAGAAUAGUUGUCAAUGAUUUGACAGCUAUUGAAAAGUGAUUUUUUCAUUUGUUUGUUUAUUGUGAGGGGAACUGUCAAAAAUGCAAGGAGCUGCGUGAGCUAAUCGAAGUGUUAAGUUUUGAAGACAGUCUUGGCAGCAGUCUAUAAAGAGAUAUGUCUGCAACAAAAAUGCCUUUGUCAGGGCCAAGAUGCUACAGUAAGCGAUCUGUAAAAUAACUCCGACCUUAACAAGAAUUUUAACAGCAUGAAUGGAUGAAAGAGGCCACGUUUUAGGGAGGGUUCUGCAGGAGUAGCUAAAAGGCUAAAUUAAAGCUGGUGCCUGUGGGUGUCUAUGACUGGUAGGAUGGGGAGAGACCUCUGAGAAUUUUGUGAGUAGGAAGACAAGAAAGAGAUGGCUGGGAAAUGAAGGUUGAGAGUUUGGUCUUGGCUAUGCUGGGCUUGAGAUGGUGGCCAGGCAGUUCCAAAGGCAUGUCAGCGUGCCUAGGUGAAUGUAUGAUGAUGAAUGUAAUGUGUUAGGUAAGGGGUUAGGUCUGGAAUGUAGCAGCAUCCAUGAUCCUUCUGAUAAUGAAAUUUGUAGGUGAAAAGAGGCCAAGAGAGACUUUGGAAGGAAAUCACAUGAACUACUGUAAGUGUAGAAAAUGUGACUUCAGAAGAAAUCACAAUAAAAUCAGGAUAUUUUCAUCUGAAAAAGGCUAAGGAAAAGUACAGUUAUAGUCUACUUAAGCAUUACAAGUGACUGCAAAAAUGGAGAAAAUUAACUGUUCUCCAUGGUGAUCAGAACUAGAAGAUGUCAACUUGUAUUGCUGCAAGGGCUAUUUAGGUAAAAGAGGAGAAAAAUUGCAGUGAUAAAAGUAGCAGUGCAUGAAGGCUGUGGUACCCCUCCACUGAAAUUUUUAGGAACAGAUGUGCAUCUACAGUGAAAAGCAUGUGAAAAAAACUCCUUAUUAAUGUAUGUGUUUUUUUUUUUUUCACCUGUAUGUUUUGUGCUGUAAAUUUCAGUGUUAUUAUAAUUAGACUACUAAUAACUUUGACUAGGUUAUUAAGAUACCAGUUAGGCUCACCAUAAAUGCUUAGCUCCAUGUAUAUGGUGUGUACACCUCUAAGAGCAUUUUGAGCAUAGCACGUACAUUACUUUUGUUUCAGGAUAUGAUUCAUUUUUUUCAUAUGAAAGUUUGCUUCCUUCAUCUUAAACGGGAUUACUUAACUCAUUCAAUGCUUUAUUGUUUUAACAUUGAUAGCAUAUUUGAUGGGUAAGAUACACAGUUUUAAUACUGUUUCAAAGAGGAAAUAAUAGAAGAUGUUUGAAUAUUACAGAAUUAUGACCUGAUUUUACAUGGGUAUUUUCUACGCUAGCGGCAAUCAUGCAGAAAAAUCUGUUUAGCCUAAAAUGGCAGUGUUAAUGACCUUGUACAGGAAGAGCAAUGCAUAAAUUGAUGGAGCUUUUACAGUAGGAAGAUAACCUUGGUCAUCCAAAGCUUUUCUACAGAGGUCAGAUGGAAUUAAACAUAUAAGGAAACAACUUCUCUUUAAAGUCUAGCCCUGUCCCAUGGCUGCUUGUUAAAUAUAGUCUUGGAGUACAAUAUUCCUUCCGUUCUGUCUCUUGAGCAGCUACCUGCUCAGCUUUUUUCUUGAAUCUAUGGAUGAAGGGGAAGGAAAUGCCGAUGGCUAUGAGCCCAUAAUGUGCUGGAGGCAAUGACCCUGUCACUGUUUAAUGCUCAGUGUUAACUGAAUCCCCAAAAAUAGGAAUUACUGGGAAGGAAUAAGGUGAAAUGACAUCAAUACUGUUCUGCU